CAGCCGCCACGGUAAUACGUAGGGUGCAAGCGUUAAUCGGAAUUACUGGGCGUAAAGCGUGCGCAGGCGGUUGUGUAAGACAGGUGUGAAAUCCCCGGGCUUAACCUGGGAACUGCGCUUGUGACUGCACAGCUAGAGUAUGGCAGAGGGGGGUGGAAUUCCACGUGUAGCAGUGAAAUGCGUAGAGAUGUGGAGGAACACCGAUGGCGAAGGCAGCCCCCUGGGCCAAUACUGACGCUCAUGCACGAAAGCGUGGGGAGCAAACAGGAUUAGAGACCCGCGUAGUCCCUGUCUCUUAUAC
rnacentral:rRNA from 1 species